GACGAACGCUGGCGGCGUGCUUAACACAUGCAAGUCGAACGGAAAGGCCCUGCUUUUGUGGGGUGCUCGAGUGGCGAACGGGUGAGUAACACGUGAGUAACCUGCCCUUGACUUUGGGAUAACUUCAGGAAACUGGGGCUAAUACCGGAUAGGAGCUCCUGCUGCAUGGUGGGGGUUGGAAAGUUUCGGCGGUUGGGGAUGGACUCGCGGCUUAUCAGCUUGUUGGUGGGGUAGUGGCUUACCAAGGCUUUGACGGGUAGCCGGCCUGAGAGGGUGACCGGCCACAUUGGGACUGAGAUACGGCCCAGACUCCUACGGGAGGCAGCAGUGGGGAAUAUUGCACAAUGGGCGGAAGCCUGAUGCAGCAACGCCGCGUGCGGGAUGACGGCCUUCGGGUUGUAAACCGCUUUCGCCUGUGACGAAGCGUGAGUGACGGUAAUGGGUAAAGAAGCACCGGCUAACUACGUGCCAGCAGCCGCGGUGAUACGUAGGGUGCGAGCGUUGUCCGGAUUUAUUGGGCGUAAAGGGCUCGUAGGUGGUUGAUCGCGUCGGAAGUGUAAUCUUGGGGCUUAACCCUGAGCGUGCUUUCGAUACGGGUUGACUUGAGGAAGGUAGGGGAGAAUGGAAUUCCUGGUGGAGCGGUGGAAUGCGCAGAUAUCAGGAGGAACACCAGUGGCGAAGGCGGUUCUCUGGGCCUUUCCUGACGCUGAGGAGCGAAGGCGUGGGGAGCGAACAGGCUUAGAUACCCUGGUAGUCCACGCUGUAAACGGUGGGUACUAGGUGUGGGGUCCAUUCCACGGGUUCCGUGCCGUAGCUAACGCUUUAAGUACCCCGCCUGGGGAGUACGGCCGCAAGGCUAAAACUCAAAGGAAUUGACGGGGCCCCGCACAAGCGGCGGAGCAUGCGGAUUAAUUCGAUGCAACGCGUAGAACCUUACCUGGGUUUGACAUGGAUCGGGAGUGCUCAGAGAUGGGUGUGCCUCUUUUGGGGUCGGUUCACAGGUGGUGCAUGGCUGUCGUCAGCUCGUGUCGUGAGAUGUUGGGUUAAGUCCCGCAACGAGCGCAACCCUUGUUCACUGUUGCCAGCACGUUAUGGUGGGGACUCAGUGGAGACCGCCGGGGUCAACUCGGAGGAAGGUGGGGAUGACGUCAAGUCAUCAUGCCCCUUAUGUCCAGGGCUUCACGCAUGCUACAAUGGCUGGUACAGAGAGUGGCGAGCCUGUGAGGGUGAGCGAAUCUCGGAAAGCCGGUCUCAGUUCGGAUUGGGGUCUGCAACUCGACCUCAUGAAGUCGGAGUCGCUAGUAAUCGCAGAUCAGCAACGCUGCGGUGAAUACGUUCCCGGGGCU
rnacentral:rRNA from 1 species